UGAUUUCAGUUCUUAAAACCCAGACAAUCUACUCGCUCUUCUUGAACUUCAUGUUCCCCUUCGGUAUCUUGCUCAAGACACCUUGAUCAAGUUUCUGAUACUGGUCACGCAGGAGGCCAAGAAUAUUGUAUAGGAAAUCAUCAACUUGAUCUUCAUACUUCUCGUAGAGCACGGGCAGCGUGUGAGCGCUAACAAAUCCUGUUCCAGUUAAUCAAAUUUAAGAAAUUGCACCAGCCCCCAAUAACAGCCGCAGCCCACAGUCCACAUACCAGUACAAAGUGCUUCAGGUUUCUUUCACAAGACACAUCCUGAAGAAAACUCAAGAACUUAUUUACUUGGGUACCAACUGCAACUGCAAUGUUCACAAACAGCUCUUCUGGCAGCUCAACACGGGAUGCUUUGUAAAUUCCAUACCCGCUUAGAGCACUUGAGAAAUUGGACCACACGAACUGGACAACCAUUCCAAGGACAAGGGCAAAUGAAACAAUUGUUAGGAAGUGGUAGUCGAGCCACUCAAAGAAUACCCAAAUUGCUGUUGCAAGAGCCAGGACACU
rnacentral:sRNA from 1 species